rnacentral:rRNA from 1 species
UACGUAGGGUGCGAGCGUUAAUCGGAAUUACUGGGCGUAAAGCGUGCGCAGGCGGUUCGUUGUGUCGGCGGUGAAAGCCCCGGGCUCAACCUGGGAAUGGCCGUUGAAACUGGCGAACUGGAGUGUGGCAGAGGGGGGUGGAAUUCCGCAUGUAGCAGUGAAAUGCGUAGAGAUGCGGAGGAACACCGAUGGCGAAGGCAGCCCCCUGGGCUGACACUGACGCUCAGGCACGAAAGCGUGGGGAGCAAACAGG